rnacentral:rRNA from 1 species
UACCAGACUCCUACGGGAGGCAGCAGUGGGGGAUAUUGCACAAUGGGGGAAACCCUGAUGCAGCGACGCCGCGUGUGGGAAGACGGUCCUCUGGAUUGUAAACCACUGUCCCCAGGGACGAAGAUGACGGUACCUGGGGAGGAAGCUCCGGCUAACUACGUGCCAGCAGCCGCGGCAAUACGUAGGGGGCAAGCGUUAUCCGGGUUGACUGGGUGUAAAGGGAGCGGAGACGGCGACGCAAGUCUGGAGUGGAAGCGCGGGGCCCAACCCCAGGGCUGCUCUGGGAACUGGGUGGCUGGAGUAGGGGAGGGGCAGGGGGAAUUCCUGGUGUAGCGGUGAAAUGCGUAGGUAUCAGGAGGAACGCCGGCGGCGGAGGCGGCCUGCUGG